UCUCCCCUACGGGGGGCAGCAGUGAGGAAUAUUGGUCAAUGGGCGCGAGCCUGAACCAGCCAAGUCGCGUGAGGGAAGACGGUCCUAUGGAUUGUAAACCUCUUUUGUCGGGGAGCAAAGGACGCCACGUGUGGCGUUCCGAGAGUACCCGAAGAAAAAGCAUCGGCUAACUCCGUGCCAGCAGCCGCGGUAAUACGGAGGAUGCGAGCGUUAUCCGGAUUUAUUGGGUUUAAAGGGUGCGCAGGCGGAAGAUCAAGUCAGCGGUAAAAUUGAGAGGCUCAACCUCUUCGAGCCAUUGAAACUGG
rnacentral:rRNA from 1 species